GUCUUACCAUAUCCUUCAAUCAGGUUGGAUGGGUUUGAGAAGAUUGUUAAAGGUGUAUUCUUAGGUAUGAAGUUAGUGAAAUAGAUGUGUUCACUCAAAAUGGUGUGCAUGGUUGCACUAUCUGCUAGACAACUAACUUUCUCACUAGUCAUACCUAGAAAUAAAAAUUAAUUUGAAUCGAUCACAUGAACAAAAGUUCUAAAAAUAAAUAUCCAUUCAAAGUAAUUUAAGUAUUCAAGGAUGGUAAUUAAUUAAAACUUAAUAUCCAAAAAUAAAUCACCAACAAAUAAUACAUACAAAAAGAAAAAUCCAUAGUUUCAGGUGUUUUACCCUUAUUCUUGAAGUUUGGGGC
rnacentral:lncRNA from 1 species